GUGAGCAACGAUGGUUCGCUGGGCAGAAGCAAGAACAUGUCUCCCUUUACCGCAGCACUAAAUUCAAGAUUACUGCCAAGGGAACGUCAGAAAAGAAGGAAGUUGAAAAAGCAGGGCACCAGUAUGAUGAGGGGGUUGACAGCACAGAUGGAAGAGGUUACUUCGGAACAAGAAAGGAGGAAAGAGGAGCAAAGACAGCUAAAAGACAAACUUAAAGCCAUAGAAGCUAAAUGUGACCAACUCCGCUAAGGGACCGCCAUCGUAAUACAGCAGAGUGCCAGCACCCAAAUCCGGCUCGCUCUCAUGUUUCAAAUCUUAAGAGCAAGAGAAAAUAGAGACUUUACCAAAGCAGCCCAACUUGCAUAAUCUCUUCGUGAACUCAUAAUGAAACAGAAGGCAUAGUUGGGAGUAUUUGGCGGUGGCUUGCUUGAUCAAGCAUUGCUUCAUUCCAGAAUUUCAGCUAAAUUUCUUUGUUUUAUUAUCAAUUUUUGCACUUUCUUAUUGGAUUUUAGCCAUCGUAGAUUGUGGUAGUGAUUUAUAGUUUAUACAAAUAUAUGUUGAAACAAUAAUCAUU
rnacentral:sRNA from 1 species